AAAGAGGCCACAGGCCCCAGUCUGCAAUGGCUCAGACUGGGGCAUCCAAAUCACAAAGUCCACCCCUGCCUGUGUUCAGGGACACAGUGUGUUUAAGGUGCUGGCCCUUAGCUUCUCGUCCUGCACACACUCAGACAUGGUGUGGCAGACGGUGUGCUGGAAGCUGCUGGAGACCGUCCAGAGUGCUAGCUGGAGAGUGUGCUCACUGAGCUUGUGCAGGCUGUUAACAUGGCUCCAGGAUCAUGGGGAACCUGGUGUUGAAGAACAAAAAAGCCCAGUUUGUCGUCACCCAUAAAAUGCUCCUGGACCAAUAUAAGUAUGAGAAUCAUGUUUUGAGGGUUCUUCUGGGCUAUCUGGCAGAGCACAGCGAGAGGCCACUACUUAUACAGGGGCUGCAGUCGCUGUGCUAGAGCUGGAUAGAUAUAUCAGCUGACCAGGAGACGAGCCGUGCUGUUUGGAGGGUAAUAUACACCUUCUUCUCCUCCUCUGAGGGUGGAGCUCAGUCUGAGAGCUGUUGAGGGACUGGUUAGGAAGAACACUUCUACACCCCGAGAGGUGAGAGGUCACACAUGAUUAAGAUGUGCUUAUGCAUAUUUGGUGGCCUGACUGCAUCCAGACUAUGUCAAAUUCCGAACACAAUUCCCUCCCUGGCAGAUAUGAACUUAAUGCGAGUACAAUGUGACUUUUGUGCAUCCAGACCUAAUGCAGCUUGGAGUGAUUGGAAGACAGAAGUCGCAUUUAAGUGCUUGGUGUAACCGAGGCCAUACAGCAGAUGCACCAUAUCCAUUACUUUGAGAGUUUGAUUUAAUAUAACUGUUUGUGUUUGUAUUGCAAGGCCACAAAACGUGACCACCUCGAAGCAUGCCCCUGGUAGAGCCGGGGGCGCUGUUUACCAAGCCACCACCACGCGCCUUCAGCAGGCCGGAAAAGUGGGAUUAAUCUAUUUGUCUUUGUUUGAUCCAUUUGUUUGUUUCAGUUUUCGUAGUUGAAUACUUUGACCUAAUUUUCAACAAAAAUGCACUGAAUUGGUAGAAAAGUGAUACUAAACUUAAUUACCAUGCACAAUUUUGACAUAGUGGAAGAGAGACUAUAUAUACAAAAGUAUGUGGACACCCCUUUAAAUGAGUGGAUUCAGCUAUUUCCUCCACAACCGUUGCUGACAUAGACCAACAUUGGCAGUAUAAUGGCCUUACUGAGGAGCUCAGGGACUUUCAACAUCAAAUUUCUCCCCUACUAGAGUUGCCCCGGUCAACUGUAAGUGCUGUUAUUGUGAAGUGGAAACGUCUAGGAACAUCAACGGUUCAGCUGCACAGUGGUAGGCCACACAAGCUCACAGAAUGGGACCGGCGAGUGCUAAAGUGCGUAAAGAAUUGUCUGCCCAUGUUUACAACACUCAGUACCGAGUUCCAAACUGCCUCUGGAAGCAAUGUCAGCACAAAAACUGUUUGUUGGGAGCUUCAUGAAAUGGGUUUCCGUGGCCGAGCAUCCGCACACAAGCCUAAGAUCACCAUGCGCAAUGUCAAAAGUUGGCUGGAGUGGUGUAAAGCUCACCGCUAUUACACUCUGGAGCAAUGGAAAUGCAUUCUCUGGAGUGAUGAAUCAUUCUUUACCAUCUGCCAGUCAAAAGGACAAAUCUGUGUUUGGCGGUGUGGAAGAACUUGACUAACCUGCACAGAGCUCUGACCUCAAACCCAUCAAACACCUUAGGUAAGAAUUGAAUGCCAACUGCGAGCCAAGCCUAAUCGCCCGACCUCACUAAUGCUCUUGUGGCUGAAUGGAAGCAGGUCCUCGCAGAAAUGCUCCAACAUCUAGUGGAAAGCCUUCCCAGAAGAGUUGAUGUCUAUGAUUUCUUAAUGAGAUGUUCGACGAGCAGGUGUCCACAUACAUUUGGUCAUGUUGUAUACAUACUGAAUUUAUACUGUUUUUCAUACUUAGAUGGACAAAGAUAUGUGUUGCUUUUACACAUAUUUGUAAAUAGGUUUUGUAAGAUUCAGUUGAUUGGUCAGUUCAUUGGGUCCAUUUUCUUUUGCAAUAUGAUGACAUUGGUUAAAAGAGUAAGAAUUUUAUAUAAUAUAAUUGUACAAAAACAUUCUCAGUUGGUUGCAUAAAUAAUGAUGAUUACUAAAUGCUACAUGAAAUGGAAAUAUCAAAACCGAAUAGAAACCUCUUUGUUAAUAUGUUUUGGCAAUAAUUAAUUUAAUGGUGAGGGAUGGAAUAAUAAAUGUAUCUUUUGUCACGCUGGAUGUUUGAAAUAAUAAGUAAGUAUGAUGAUUUGAGACAUGGUUCUUCAGUAGUGGAAUAAAGACAUUUAGCACUUAAGUGUUGUAAAGAAAUACUUUUUGUAAAUACUGUGGUUGUAUGAUUGUUAAUAAAAUUGUACAUAUAGCAA